AUACAUUUUGAAUGGCGUACAGGUGAGUAAUACAUAAGUAUUUACUUUAUAUUUUAGAAUUAAUUCUAAUAAAAAUUAUAGUGUUUUAAAAUCAUAUAAUUUAAAGAUUUAGAUUGGUGUAAACUUAGCUUAUGGAGAAUUAGAUUGUUGGUAAGGUAAUGGCUUACCAAGUCGAUGAUUCUUAAUUGGUCUUAGCGGACGAUCAAUCACAUUGGGACUGAAACAAGGCCCAGGCUCUUAAUGAGGCAGCAGUAAGGAAUAUUGGACAAUGAACGAAAGUUUGAUCCAGCAAUAUCCCGUGAAUGAAGAAGGUCGUUUCUUAUCUUAAAGUUCUUUCAAUAAGGAGGAUAAUGACGUUACUUAUAGAGGAAGUCUCGACUAACCUCGUGCCAGCAGUCGCGGUAAUACGUGGGAGGCGAGCGUUACUCUACGUUACUUGGUGUAAAGCGUACUUAGGUUGUUUUAUAAGUUACUUUUUAAAUACUAAAUAUGAUUUUAGCAAAGGAGGAUAAUACUGUAAAACUUUGAGUAUAUUAGAAGACGGUUGUACUUUUAGUGUAGAGGUGGAAUUUUUUCAUAUUAAAAGGACAAUCAAUUGGUGAAAACUACCGUCUAGGAUAUAACUGACACUUAUCUACGAAAGCGUGAGGAGCAAAAAGGAUUAGAUACCCUUGUAGUUCACGCUGUGACAAAUGAAUAUUAAUUGAUGGAAAAAAAUUUCCGUUGAAUGAGCUAACGCGUUAAAUAUUCCACCUGGGGACUACGAUCGCAAGGUUGAAACUCAAAGAAAUUGACUGAAAUCUGUACAAGCAGUGGAGCAUGUGGUUUAAUUCGAUAUAAAGCGAUAAAUCUUACCAAUUUUUGAUAUGUAG
rnacentral:rRNA from 1 species